rnacentral:rRNA from 1 species
AAUGGCAUUUACUCGGCUUCAUCCUGCUAUGCUGCCUUGUUUGAGGGAUCUACGGCAUCCGAGCACUGGCGUCUCGUGUGGAAAUCUGGUGCAACUUUGUUGGUGAAAUUCUUCCUGUACCUGGUCUCCUUGAACCGAUGCUGGUCUGCCGACAAGCUCGCCCGACGCGGCCUGCCCCACAAGCAUGCCUGCAUCCUCAGCCUACAGGAGCCCGAGACCCUCCACCACAUCCUCGUGGGCUGCGUCUUCGCGCGCGUCACCUGGCACGAGGUGCUCUCCUGGUGUCGACCUGCGGUACCGCCACCAGAUGUCUCCUCUGCUUUCUUGAACUGGUUGCCCGCUGUUCUUCCCACUCUGCGGACUGGCGAUCGCCGUGGCCUCACUACCAUGGCCGCUCUCACAGCCUGGGCACUUUGGCGCCAUCAUAACGCAAUCAUCUUCGACAAGAUCACUCCCGCCACCACGACAGUCGUCGCCGCUAUCAAGGACGAGGCUCACUCCUGGGCAAAUGCGAGAGCCAAAGGACUUAGCGAUUUCAUCCCUGUAGCCUAA